AGCCCUAAGGAGGAGGCAUGAAAAAAGCCCAAGCAGGAGUAAGAUUUUGAGACCAACGCAAUCCUUUUAAAAUUCAAAUUAAUUAAAUCCUAUCCAUCCUCAUUAAAGGUUUUUGGGACUCUCAUUCUUUACAUUAAAAAAAAAGAAAAAGA